AUGCAGAGAUGGUACUGGAUGUGGGCCUGUUCACGUCACAGACUUCAAAGAGGAAAUGAGCGGAGCCUUAAGUUUCCCGGGGACUAUCAUGUGGAAGUGAGUGAUCUGGAUGAAACUGAGGCAGCAUUUCCUGCAGAACGGGGACAGCGGGCGCCACCCACACUCGACCAGCAGAAUGGGGACAGUGGGCGCCACCCACACCCACACUUGACCAGCACACGUUCACUCUUCCAGGACAUCUUCUCAGGAAGAGGGAAGAUGCACACCACUGCGUCAAUUCCGGGAAACUCCUGGAACACCAUUCGGUUUGUUUCUGAAGGCUGCCUUAAGCACCACAGACCGAGCAGCUAAAACAACAGACACUUAUUUUCUCAGCCCUGGGUGCUGGAAGCCCGAGGUCAAGGUGCCUGGGUUGGUUCCUUCUGAGGCUUCUCUCCCUGGCUCACCCUGGGCGUCUCCUCCCAAUGUGAUGUCCUCACAUGGGGUCGCUCUGAGCGUGUCUGUGUCCUAGUCUCCUCUCCUUAUGAAGACACCAGUCAGAUUGGGUCAGGGCCACCCUAGCAACCUCAUUUUAACUUGAUUACCUCUUUAAAUACUCUGCCUCCAAAUACAGUUACAUUCUGAGUUUCUGGGGGUUAGAACCUCAACAUAUGAAUUUUAGGGGGACACAGUUCAGCCACAACAUCCUGUGUCCACCCUUCCUAACGAUUAUAUCAUGAUCCUUAAUCCAAAUCCAAACCAGGCCCCCUCCACUGGGUGCCUCUGCAUUGAAAGACGCAUGUAAACCAGACCACAAAACUGCAAACACCCAACACCACUGAGGCCGGGCUGGGCUUUUCUCCGCUGCAUGAAGCCAGCCGCUCAGCUUUGUCUUAGCAUAGGGUGACUGCGCCGGCGUCCGGGGGCAGGGUAUGUCGCUGAUAUUUUGGGGAGUCAGCCGUGGAUGACGUGUGAGUCCCAUGCACUCUGCCAGCCAAUGUCUAUGUUUAUGAACCCCCCAGGCUUCCCCACAGAAGUGGGUGUGAGGAAUGAUUUGGGAACUCUGGGGUGCUUUUUCCCGGGAAGUUCACCCUCCCAGCAAUAAUGAAAAUAAAAAUAAAAUGGCAAAAGAUCUCGGUGUUGUCUUGACCAUUCUAUGUUGUAGAUGAAGCAGCUUUGUAAAUGCUCCCACUUUUCUCGGAGAAUAAUUUCUUAUCUAAAGAUUUGAGAAACCUGUCUCACCACAUGAGCGCUCCAAAGCAAAGAGAUUG
rnacentral:lncRNA from 1 species